ACUUAUUUAGAUUUACAGUAUAUAAAUUGAGAGCAAAUUUAUUUUUACAUUUCUACAUAAAUAAGAAAAAUCCUUUACAGAAAACAUUUCAUUACUGAAUACAGUUACUCUAAAAACACAGAUACAAACAGAUGGCAAUAUAUUCUAAAUAUGAAAGUUGCAUAACUGUAAUUACAGUUUUUCUCAAUUGCUAAAACACUAAAACCCAUUGGCUGAACAAAGUUCUCAGUUACCUGAACUCAUUUAGCUAAUUGUGCAGUCUGUUGUCAAUACCUUAAACCAUUUCACAUGGUAAAACACAAUUUGCAGAUCUCACUUAGACUUUUCAGCAAAUCUCUAAACACAUUCUCAUUCUCAAAACACAUUCUGCACUCUAAUGCAUAUGUCAUCCAUACUGGUAAACACAAGUAGCAACAAUCAAAGACAAAUAGAGAACACAUGUCAUUGAUUGAACACAACCACUCAAAAUUGAUUUCACUUGUUUCAAAUGAUGUGACACAACCAAUAUAAGCCAAUUCAGAGAGCAAACAGGUUGAUGAAGGUUCAUAUCAACAAAGAAUUACAAGAAUUACAGUAUCACAGAGACAAAGGACAAGUUUGUGAGCUGCAGGGUACAGUACUGUAAAAAUAGGGGUACAAGGAGGAGGAAGAACAACAAAAAUUGCAAAGAGCAAAGCAGAGUAGUAAUUUCUGAUCAAUUUUGAGCUACUAUGAUAGAACAUGUUUUCGUUCAUUUAAAGACAAUGACAGAAAAUGAUGAAAUUUGUUUUGAGAUUAAAAAUGUACUUCUCCCUGAGAACUAUAUGUUUUGAACAAUGUGGUUUCUAUUUUUUGGUGUAUUGUUUACUGACUGCUUGAUAGUGUAUAUCAUUUUGAUCACCUUGUUUAUGAUUUGAGAGCAGGGUUUGAUUUAGAACACAGGUAAAACUGUUUUGAGGCGAAAGUUUCAUUUUGCGAGAGGAGUCAGAGGUUUUGUAAAUAGUGCUUGAAGAUGAGGUUUUGUGUUUAAUGUUUUCAGAAAAUGGAGCAAUUUUCAAAAAUUGUGUUUUAGCAAUUGAGAAAAACUGUAAUAUGAAAUGUUCUCAUCCGUCAUGGAUUUCAUUACGAAGUAAAGGCUGAUUUUCUCAAACAGGUGAGAUUCCAAAGAAAAAGAGAAAUGUUUACCCAUUUGGGUCACUAUAUACUAUCUACUGUAAGUCAUUAGUGCACAGCUAGUGUAGUUUGCAUUAAAACUAAUGUUAUAACAUGAAUGAACUUAAUAUGUUUUAAUAAAA